rnacentral:rRNA from 1 species
UACAGAGGUCUCAAGCGUUGUUCGGAUUCAUUGGGCGUAAAGGGUGCGUAGGUGGCGCUGUAAGUCAGGUGUGAAAUUUCGGAGCUUAACUCCGAAACUGCAUUUGAUACUGCGGUGCUUGAGGACUGGAGAGGAGACUGGAAUUUAUGGUGUAGCGGUGAAAUGCGUAGAGAUCAGCAGGAACACCCGUGGCGAAGGCGGCCCCCUGGGCCGUACCUGACGCUGAGGCGCGAAGGCUAGGGGAGCGAACGGG